UUUAGAAUGCUGAGCUGACUCAAAGUCAAACUGAACACAUGAUUUUCUCUUCCUGAAGCAUGGGACCGAUAUUGUAGCUUACCCUCCAGGGCAGGAUAAUUUGCUCAUUGUGGAUUAGUUGCCUUCAGCAGAUGAAAACUCCUGAAAACAAUGGAAAUCAAGGAGUCAGAAUGAACGUCAAUGCCAUUGUUUUCAAUAAGCCUCACAAAUCAAGCAUGGAAAAGAGAUUGCUGGUGUACCUAACUGAAGACUUG
rnacentral:lncRNA from 1 species